UUGAACACCCAGAGACGUCUUCUAUACCCAUAUUCCCCACUGUGCGUACCAUUUUCCCCCCAAAUCCUUUCCUCCCUCUCUCCAUCUCCUCUCCUCAACCCCACUGUGAGCCUACCACCGUCGACCACUCACGAGACCGCCACUCCAUUGUGCGUUCUCUAUCUCCGGCCAAAACCCAACCACCGUACCGUCACGAGCAGCCCCAGCCGAACCACCACCAUCGACGAGCCCAUCCACCGAAUUGGAGAGACAAAGUUAGCUAAGAUUUGGGCUCCCACAAUUCCGGCGACCAUUUCCCUCAUUUCUGGCCUUGAUCUCCCCCAUUUUUGGCACCGGCACAAGUAAAUGUCUACAACAAGUGAUUUGUCAAGCGGUCCUCCGUUAUGUAAUUAUGGAGUUCCUGCACGUCUAAGGAACUUUUGAACCACGUCCAAUCCCGCUAAAAAGUGGCAUCUCUGUUGUCGAUGGGGAGUGCCAGAAAGGUGCUUAAUUUCUGAGCUGGGUUGGUCUUUGGUAGUUCUUCUGAUAUGGAUCUCUCGGUUUGUGGAUCUGCAGUGAUGGUCCUGCAGUUUCUUUGCUCUUUUGUUUAGUUGUUGGGUGAUUUUGGCUAGUCUGUUUAGUUGAGUUUUGUAAGUUUUAGAGAGGUGUCGUUGUUUGGUGUUUCUGAAUAGAAACUUAAGACCAGUUAAGUUUGGUGUGUUUGUAUUGUUUGUUGUUUGGGUACCCAUUACUGCAGCCUAAACAAUUUUACCAUUUAUUAAGGUUCGUUUAUAUCGUAUUUUCAGUUCGUAGUGGUAGCUUUUAUUGCGUGUUUGUUUGGUUGUAUUAUUGUCUUCAGCUAUGAUGGCGAUGUUAAUGUGUCUUGAGCCAUCAAA